CUAUGGGUGCUUAGGAGGAAGUGGAGAUUGAGAUGGGGUGGAGUGGAGAAAACAUGGUUAAAACAUGGACGGUGGUGGAGAAGAACGGAGAGAGAAAAGACCUGGAGGGCAAGAAGGCAGCAACAGAAUGAACAUGAAGAACUGUGGAGAUGAGAGACAACAAUCUGUGUGUGUUUGGCAUGCAAAGCUCUGAGCGGUGGCCUCUGCCUGUCUUCCCACCUCCCCUCUCUUACCAGCAGAGAGAGAAGAGCCAAAAGCCUACUCACAGCUGCAGCUUCAGGGAGGACAACCCUCAAUACGAGCCUGAUGUACUGAGCUGACUUGAUGAACCACAACUUGUACAGGCCCACCUUCAACUGUGACAAAGAAGAAAAUAUACUCCUAAAAUACCUUUUAUAGCAAUGAGAGCAAUGAAGAAAAUUUUUCUGAUGAUAGCAAGCUGGGUUACAUUCCCCCUUUUCUUCUAUGAACAUGUGAUUCGGAAUGCAACUCAGAUAAACAUCUUUCUUUGUGGAAGCUGGUGUUAAAUUUGUGACAUGUGAACUGUCCAUACACACACACACACUUCUUGUCAAAUCCCUAAUGAGCUAAUUAAAGCCAUUAUCAAGGCAUGUUGGCAUGAAGUAUAGCAUGCUCAAGGGAUGGUUUGAGGCAAGCAGAUGCUUGUAGUGGAAGCGAUCCUUCUUCUCGUUUUAGGUCAAGAAGAAUCUGUGUGGCUUCCAGAAUUGUCAGACUCUGUUCCAGGGAUUAUUUAUAGCUGAAGUCAUUGUCACCAAAUUCCCCUUUCUACUUUGGCAGACUGGGCCAAAACAGCUGUAGCACAGCAAUUAUCUGUCAAUUAAGCAAGUGCUAGUGCUGAAUGCUAGUCUAUCUUGAAAAAUGAAAAUUUCCAAAACUAAUGGGGUAUAUGAUGAAGUGAGUUGUUCUCAGUCAUGGAUUUUUUGCAAUGUACUUUUUAAAAAUGAAUGAAUAAAUAAAAAUUAAUUAGAUUUU